rnacentral:rRNA from 1 species
UACAGAGGUCUCAAGCGUUGUUCGGAAUUACUGGGCGUAAAGCGCGUGUAGGCGGCGGGAUAAGUCGCAUGUGAAAGCCCUCGGCUCAACCGAGGAAGUGCAUGCGAUACUGUUUCGCUUGAAUGCCGGAGGGGAUGGCGGAAUUCCCGGUGUAGAGGUGAAAUUCGUAGAUAUCGGGAGGAACACCUGUGGCGAAGGCGGCCAUCUGGACGGCAAUUGACGCUGAGACGCGAAAGCGUGGGUAGCAAACAGG